rnacentral:rRNA from 1 species
UCGGAACGUACCCAGUCGUGGGGGAUAACCAGUCGAAAGACUGGCUAAUACCGCAUACGCUGGAGACAGGAAAGCGGGGGACCUCGCAAGGGGCCUCGCGCGAUUGGAGCGGCCGAUGUCUGAUUAGCUAGUUGGUGGGGUAAAGGCCCACCAAGGCGACGAUCAGUAGCUGGUCUGAGAGGAUGAUCAGCCACACUGGGACUGAGACACGGCCCAG